rnacentral:rRNA from 1 species
GACGAACGCUGGCGGCGUGCCUAAUACAUGCAAGUUGAGCGCUGAAGCUUGGUACUUGUACCAACUGGAUGAGCAGCUAACGGGUGAGUAACGCGUGGGGAAUCUGCCUUUUAUCGGGGGACAACAUUUGGGAACGAAUGCUAAUACCGCAUAAAAACUUUAAACACAAGUUUUAAGUUUGAAAGAUGCAAUUGCAUCACUCAUAGAUGAUUCCGCGUUGUAUUAGCUAGUUGGUGAGGGAAAGGCUCACCAAGGCGAUGAUACAUAGUCUACCUGAGAGGGUGAUCGGCCACAUUGGGACUGGGACACGGCCCAAACUCCUACGGGAGGCAGCAGUAGGGAAUCUUUGGAAAUGGACGAAAGUCUGACCGAGCAAAGACGCGUGAGUGAAGAAGGUUUUCGGAUCGUAAAACUCUGUUGGUAGAGAAGAAAGAUGGUGAGAGUGGAAAGCUCAUCAAGUGACGGUAACUACACAGAAAGGGACGGCUAACUACGUG